AGAUUGGUCGGGACGCUUGUCUUCCCACAGGAGUGGAUGCGGCGAGCCAAGCUGGCAGAACGCAUCACCGAAGAGGUGGUCACGGUGCCCACACCCUGAACCUUCCCCUCCAGGAAAUAGGUACUCCGGUGCUGUCCAUGCGACUGGCCACAUUCACCGUGUUCCCCCAGAUGUCGUACUGAGGUCGGCGCGCCCCAAUCACCCCUGCGACCACUGGACCAACAUUGAUUCCUGUGUAAAUACACGUUGCAGUUUCUGAUUUUGAACGCCCUCUGGCAAAAUCUUCAAAACAAUCAAUGCAGCAUUCUUGGCAACAGCUAUAAGUUUCUCCAGCCUCCGACCAGACCUGCUGCACCGUCACACGCUCGCUGCUCGAGGUCAAAACCUCCUCCCUCAACUCAUUAAACACAUCAUCUCCGGCAGACAAAGCGCUGCAGCUCAUAAAAACGAGCCACGCAACACAAACAUGAUUAUUCCUGUGGUAACUAGAACUUGUCUAGCAUCUAAUAUCGUCUAAUUCAAACUCCCUCACACCCUCGUACAUAAUUUCCUCUCCACUGGCACAUAUUUUAGGAAAGUUAUUCCCCCAAUUAUGAUAAUCUCCCGUUUCCCUCAGUGGGGGGCAUUACUGUAGCUAUUUUAGUGAGUUUGAUUUGAAUUUAAUCACAUAGAGGAGGACUACAGGCCGCACGGCAACUCAAAGGUUAAGUUUAGAUGGGCCCCUAUGGAGCUGCAGGACGUGGGCAGGGGAUGUGCUGACGUCCGGCCAAAAAAGGGGGUCAUGCAGAAGAGAUGCUCGCAACAUUUUGUUGAAGGAUAAACUGUUGUUUCUUUGGAGUGAAUGAACAUCAUGAAACCUCCUAUUUAUGAUUUUCUCUUUUAUUUCGGCAUUUCUGUUCUUCCCGGACAUCACUCCUCACAUUGUCUGCAUCAUAAUUAUUUUACUGAUGCAAUAAAAGUCUUUAAAAGCUUCCUACAUCAAAUAUCAACUGGGCAAUAUUAUACUUAUCUAUCUUAAAUGGUGGAAUGAAAUAACAUACAACACAGACGUGAUGGAAAUUAAUUAAAAAACAAAGUUAAAGUGCUGAAAAUGCGUCUUUUAUUCAAGACAAUAAUAUAAUCUAAGAAUAUGAAAUGAUUAUGCAUCUAAAAGCCUUUAAAUUAUGUAUAAUUAUGGAUGUUUAACAGUGGAGGGCCAUAACUCAUCCCUGUGUUCACCUUAUUAAUCAUAUAAAUAAUGGAAUUGCUAUUUAUUUGAUACAUUUAGAAAGAAAAUUAAUACGUGUAGGUUUGAAAAUGUAAAAUAAUGAAAGAUUAUGUCAG